rnacentral:rRNA from 1 species
AGAGUUUGAUCCUGGCUCAGGACGAACGCUGGCGGCGUGCCUAAUACAUGCAAGUAGAACGCUGAAGGAGGAGCUUGCUUCUCUGGAUGAGUUGCGAACGGGUGAGUAACGCGUAGGUAACCUGCCUGGUAGCGGGGGAUAACUAUUGGAAACGAUAGCUAAUACCGCAUAAGAGUGGAUGUUGCAUGACAUUUGCUUAAAAGGUGCACUUGCAUCACUACCAGAUGGACCUGCGUUGUAUUAGCUAGUUGGUGGGGUAACGGCUCACCAAGGCGACGAUACAUAGCCGACCUGAGAGGGUGAUCGGCCACACUGGGACUGAGACACGGCCCAGACUCCUACGGGAGGCAGCAGUAGGGAAUCUUCGGCAAUGGACGGAAGUCUGACCGAGCAACGCCGCGUGAGUGAAGAAGGUUUUCGGAUCGUAAAGCUCUGUUGUAAGAGAAGAACGAGUGUGAGAGUGGAAAGUUCACACUGUGACGGUAUCUUACCAGAAAGGGACGGCUAACUACGUGCCAGCAGCCGCGGUAAUACGUAGGUCCCGAGCGUUGUCCGGAUUUAUUGGGCGUAAAGCGAGCGCAGGCGGUUAGAUAAGUCUGAAGUUAAAGGCUGUGGCUUAACCAUAGUAGGCUUUGGAAACUGUUUAACUUGAGUGCAAGAGGGGAGAGUGGAAUUCCAUGUGUAGCGGUGAAAUGCGUAGAUAUAUGGAGGAACACCGGUGGCGAAAGCGGCUCUCUGGCUUGUAACUGACGCUGAGGCUCGAAAGCGUGGGGAGCAAACAGGAUUAGAUACCCUGGUAGUCCACGCUGUAAACGAUGAGUGCUAGGUGUUAGACCCUUUCCGGGGUUUAGUNGAUUAUCGUGUUGAAAUUGUUCACGAUUGGGGUCAGAAAGAAGUUUAAGAGCGAUGCCAUGAGCGUCUUUCUUAUCCGUUUUAGUCUUGCGAAGUGAUAAUGAUUUGGCAAAUUCCUUGAUGAGCAAAGGAUUGUAGGUGUAAACUUUAUAUCCUUGUUCAUGCAGGAAGUUCAGUAGAUUAAAGGCAUAAUGUCCGGUAUUUUCAAGAGCGAUGAGACAGUCUUGGUUGAGUUGUCGAAGAGACAGAUCUAAGAGUUCAAAACCAGCUUUAUUAUUUGAAAAAGUGAGUGGUUUAAGAACAGUUUUCCUCGAACAUUCAAGGCUGUAACAUCGUGUUUAUUUUUAGCGACAUCAAUGCCCACAUAAAGCAUGGGAGUACCUCCAGAUGUAGUAUUUCAAGUCUACUUGGUUAUCCACGAAUUUUUUGCCUUGUUACCUUAGACGAGAUAAAACGUCUAUGCGUUAUCAAACUCAUUACCAAUUGAAACAAAAAACUGUGGUUAGAGCCUUUCGGAAAUCGUCAAGCGAUUGGAGGGAAUAAACUAAUCCACAGUGGCUUAUUCCAAGUAUACCACUUGGGCUUUGGCAGUAGCUAACUGCGCUAAAUAUAAUAUAAGGAGAAAUAGAUGGAUUUAUGGUUUUCUGAAGU